rnacentral:rRNA from 1 species
AACUUUCGAUGGUAGGAUAGAGGCCUACCAUGGUGGUAACGGGUAACGGGGUGUUAGGGCACGACACCGGAGAGGGAGCCUGAGAAACGGCUACCACAUCCAAGGAUGGCAGCAGGCGCGCAAAUUACCCAAUCCCGACACGGGGAGGUAGUGACAAUAAAUAACAAUACGGGGUUCUUUCGGAUCUCGUAAUUGGAAUGAGUACAAUUUAAAUCUCUUAACGAGGAACAAUUGGAGGGCAAGUCUGGUGCCAGCAGCCGCGGUAAUUCCAGCUCCAAUAGCGUAUAUUAAAGUUGUUGCAGUUAAAAAGCUCGUAGUUGAAUUUCGGGGUUAGUAGGUUGGUCAUGCCUCUGGUAUGUACUGGUCUCACUGAUUCCUCCUUCCUGAUGAACCGUAAUGCCAUUAAUUUGGUGUUGCGGGGAAUUUGGACUGUUACUUUGAAAAAAUUAGAGUGUUUAAAGCAAGCUAACGCUUGAAUACAUUAGCAUGGAAUAAUGAAAUAGGACGUUCGAUCCUAUUUUGUUGGUUUCUAGGAUUGACGUAAUGAUUAAUAGGGAUAGUUGGGGGCAUUAGUAUUCAAUUGUCAGAGGUGAAAUUCUUGGAUUUAUUGAAGACUAACUACUGCGAAAGCAUUUGCCAAGGAUGUUUUCAUUAAUCAAGAACGAAAGUUAGGGGAUCGAAGACGAUCAGAUACCGUCGUAGUCUUAACCAUAAACUAUGCCGACUAGGGAUCGGAUGAUGUUAAUUUUUUAAUGACUCAUUCGGCGCCUUACGGGAAACCAAAGUGUUUGGGUUC